rnacentral:rRNA from 1 species
UUGACUGGGGCGGUCUCCUCCUAAAGAGUAACGGAGGAGCACGAAGGUUGGCUAAUCCUGGUCGGACAUCAGGAGGUUAGUGCAAUGGCAUAAGCCAGCUUGACUGCGAGCGUGACGGCGCGAGCAGGUGCGAAAGCAGGUCAUAGUGAUCCGGUGGUUCUGAAUGGAAGGGCCAUCGCUCAACGGAUAAAAGGUACUCCGGGGAUAACAGGCUGAUACCGCCCAAGAGUUCAUAUCGACGGCGGUGUUUGGCACCUCGAUGUCGGCUCAUCACAUCCUGGGGCUGAAGUAGGUCCCAAGGGUAUGGCUGUUCGCCAUUUAAAGUGGUACGCGAGCUGGGUUUAGAACGUCGUGAGACAGUUCGGUCCCUAUCUGCCGUGGGCGCUGGAGAACUGAGGGGGGCUGCUCCUAGUACGAGAGGACCGGAGUGGACGCAUCACUGGUGUUCGGGUUGUCAUGCCAAUGGCACUGCCCGGUAGCUAAAUGCGGAAGAGAUAAGUGCUGAAA